rnacentral:rRNA from 1 species
UACGAAGGGGGCUAGCGUUGCUCGGAAUCACUGGGCGUAAAGCGCACGUAGGCGGCUUCUUAAGUCGGGGGUGAAAUCCUGGAGCUCAACUCCAGAACUGCCUUUGAUACUGAGGAGCUUGAGUCCGGGAGAGGUGAGUGGAACUGCGAGUGUAGAGGUGAAAUUCGUAGAUAUUCGCAAGAACACCAGUGGCGAAGGCGGCUCACUGGCCCGAUACUGACGCUGAGGCACGAAAGCGUGGGGAGCAAACAGG